rnacentral:rRNA from 1 species
UACGGAGGAUCCAAGCGUUAUCCGGAUUUAUUGGGUUUAAAGGGUGCGUAGGUGGCCUAUUAAGUCAGGGGUGAAAGACGGUAGCUUAACUAUCGCAGUGCCUUUGAUACUGAUGGGCUUGAAUACAGUUGAAGUGGGCGGAAUGUGACAAGUAGCGGUGAAAUGCAUAGAUAUGUCACAGAACACCGAUCGCGAAGGCAGCUCACUAAAGUGUGAUUGACACUGAGGCACGAAAGCGUGGGGAUCAAACAGG